rnacentral:rRNA from 1 species
UACGUAGGGGGCAAGCGUUUGUCCGGAUUUAUUGGGCGUAAAGAGCGUGUAGGCGGCUUGGUAGGUCUUGCGUCAAAACCUGAGGCUCAACCUCAGUUCGCGUGGGAAACCAUCUAGCUAGAGUCCGGAAGAGGAGAACGGAAUUCCCAGUGUAGCGGUGAAAUGCGCAGAUAUUGGGAAGAACACCAGUGGCGAAGGCGGUUCUCUGGGACGGUACUGACGCUGAGACGCGAAAGCGUGGGGAGCGAACAGG